rnacentral:lncRNA from 1 species
CGGCAGAUCAUGCUUGUACCGGCUGCUUCUUUUAUGGUUAAGAAUGAAAGUAUGAAUGAAAGAACGCUUUCAGGAAGUUCAUUAAUCCAAUUCUUGCUCUCAAUCUCCGUUACCUACAAGAAUAUUCAAGAAAAGCUCAGCAAAUAUUACCCUUGAUCAUAUAUCCUAGAAGACAUGAUUAAGCAGUAAACAUAGGUUUUGCACUUCCAUUAUUAGUAAGAUUGACAGAAAAAACUUUGACAUGGAUCCAAAAACAGAUAAAAGCAAUCAAAAGAUUGAUUCGGCACGAGUAAGUUUUGCCAUCCCUUCUUGAAUCUCACCUUAGGUAAUAUUCCACUUCGGUCCAUUGGCCUGAGAUAGUUGAAAUCUUGUGGACGAAAAGAUUGAAGUUGCAGAAGAUGCAGGUGUAAAAACAAGAGUUUUGGUCGUUUAGAG